UACGAGGGGUCCUAGCGUUGUUCGGAAUCAUUGGGCGUAAAGCGUAUGUAGGCGGCUAUUCAAGUCAGUUGUGAAAGCCCCGGGCUUAACCCGGGAAGUGCUUCCGAUACUGUUUAGCUUGAGUACUAGAGAGGAUAGUAGAAUUCCAGGUGUAGUGGUGAAAUGCGUAGAUAUCCGGAGGAACACCGGUGGCGAAGGCGGCUUCCUGGACCGACACUGACGCUGAGGCGCGAAAGCUAGGGGAGCAAACGGG
rnacentral:rRNA from 1 species